UUGACGGGGACCCGCACAAGCGGUGGAUGAUGUGGAUUAAUUCGAUGCAACGCGAAAAACCUUACCUACCCUUGACAUGUCAGGAAGUCCGCUGAGAGGUGGAUGUGCUCGAAAGAGAACCUGAACACAGGUGCUGCAUGGCUGUCGUCAGCUCGUGUCGUGAGAUGUUGGGUUAAGUCCCGCAACGAGCGCAACCCUUGUCAUUAAUUGCCAUCAUUCAGUUGGGCACUUUAAUGAGACUGCCGGUGACAAACCGGAGGAAGGUGGGGAUGACGUCAAGUCCUCAUGGCCCUUAUGGGUAGGGCUUCACACGUCAUACAAUGGUCGGUACAGAGGGUUGCCAACCCGCGAGGGGGAGCCAAUCCCACAAAGCCGAUCGUAGUCCGGAUCGCAGUCUGCAACUCGACUGCGUGAAGUCGGAAUCGCUAGUAAUCGUGGAUCAGCAUGUCACGGUGAAUACGUUCCCGGGUCUU
rnacentral:rRNA from 1 species